rnacentral:rRNA from 1 species
GAUGAACGCUCGCGAUAGGCUUAACACAUGCAAGUCGAGGGGCAGCACAAGGUAGCUUGCUAUCUGGGUGGCGACCGGCGCACGGGUGCGUAACGCGUAUGCAACUUGCCCUAUACAGGAGGAUAACCCGUCGAAAGACGGACUAAUACUGCGUAUGCUCACAACUUGGCAUCAAGUGGUGAGGAAAGAAAUUCGGUAUAGGAUAGGCAUGCGUCCCAUUAGCUUGUUGGUGAGGUAACGGCUCACCAAGGCAACGAUGGGUAGGGGAACUGAGAGGUUUAUCCCCCACACUGGUACUGAGACACGGACCAGGCUCCUACGGGAGGCAGCAGUGAGGAAUAGUGGUCAAUGGGCGCGAGCCUGAACCAGCCAAGUCGCGUGAAGGAGGACUGUCUUAUGGAUUGUAAACUUCUUUUAUACGGGAAUAACAAGAGUCACGUGUGACUCCCUGCAUGUACCGUAUGAAUAAGCAUCGGCUAACUCCGUG